rnacentral:tRNA from 1 species
GCGCACGUGGUGGAAUUGGUAGACACGCUACUUUGAGGGGGUAGUGUCCGUAAGGAUGUGUGAGUUCAAAUCUCGUCGUGCGCA